CAAAUUCUGGACAGGUUCCAGCAGGUGCCGCAGGGGAUCAUCCUGCAGACAAAGCAGCAGACUCCCACCAGCCAGGCCUCCCCAGCGCUGAGCCAGUUCAGCAGCCAGUCCUCCUCCGUCCUGGUCAGCAGCCAGGGGCAGCCGGUGACGGUGACGGCGACGCCGACCCCCGCGCACAGCCACGCGCCCACCGCCGGGCCGCCCUCCAGUGCAGGUCUGUGCC
rnacentral:lncRNA from 1 species